rnacentral:rRNA from 1 species
UACGUAGGUGGCAAGCGUUGUCCGGAUUUACUGGGCGUAAAGAGCGCGCAGGCGGUCGUUCAAGUCGCGUGUGAAAGCCCCCGGCUCAACUGGGGAGGGUCACGCGAUACUGAUCGACUCGAAGGCAGGAGAGGGUAGUGGAAUUCCCGGUGUAGUGGUGAAAUGCGUAGAUAUCGGGAGGAACGCCAGUGGCGAAGGCGACUACCUGGCCUGUUCUUGACGCUGAGGCGCGAAAGCGUGGGGAGCGAACAGG